rnacentral:rRNA from 1 species
GGUAUCCUGGCUCAGGAUGAACGCUGGCGGCAUGCCUAAUACAUGCAAGUCGAACGAGAGACCUUCGGGGUCUCUAGUGGCGAACGGGUGAGUAACACGUAGGGAACCUGCCCGUGCACCGGGAAUACGCUCUGGAAACGGAGAACAAAUCCCGAUGUACAGGAAGGAGGCAUCUUCUUUCUGUGAAACAUCCUUUAGGGGGAUGGGGCGCGGAUGGACCUGCGAUGCAUUAGUUGGUUGGCGGGGUAAAGGCCCACCAAGACGAUGAUGCAUAGCCGGCCUGAGAGGGCGGACGGCCACAUUGGGACUGAGACACGGCCCAGACUCCUGCGGGAGGCAGCAGUAGGGAAUUUUCGUCAAUGGGCGCAAGCCUGAACGAGCGAUGCCGCGUGAGUGAAGAAGGCCUUCGGGUCGUAAAGCUCUGUUGCGGGGGAAAAAAGGCAGCAUCAGGAAAUGGGCGCUGACUGAUGGUGCCCCGCCAGAAAGUCACGGCUAACUACGUG